rnacentral:rRNA from 1 species
AUCCGCUCUGCUCCGAGCUGAGCCGCCGCCCGCUCCUCCAUAAGACUUAAAGAAUGCAGGAGCCGUUCCGAAUACUCUUCUCCGCUCUCCGUCAGCACCAGCGCCUUCUCUUUUCCGCGGCUCAUCUCCUCGCUGACCGCAAGGAUCCCCUCUUUCCGCAUCUCCGUGAUCACAUGGUUCACCGUCUGCCGCGGAAGCAGAUACGAAUCACAGAUCUUCUUUUGCGUACAGAAUCCGAAUUCGCGGAUGGUGUAAAGCACCAGCAUCCGGUUAUAGCUGACCUUAUUGGACACCAGUAACAUUCCGCAGGUUCCGGACAAUUCCAAUUCAAACACGCCGUGAACCACCGCAUAAUCCAAUGCCCCCACAUUGUAUCCCUCAAGCGUGGUCAUCAUCACCCUGGUCAGCCGGUCCUCAUCCCGGAUACCAAGCUGCCAUACCGGGAUCUGCACAACCUGUGCCGAAGCGCUGUUAUUGACCACCACCACACAGCGGUUCUCACCGCAGAAACGCCCGUAGGCGAUCAUCUGCCGCCCCGCCGCCAGCUGUUUCAAGGAACCUCUGCGAAGCGCCUUAUACCGCUUAUGCAGAUCGAUCAUAUACCGGUGGAACUCGAUCAGUUCAUAAUUCUCUCUGCCCCACGGAUAAGUUCUCCGGUUGUCCGGAUCAGUCCAGCCGCAGACUCCGGUCUCAUCACCAUAAUACAAGGUCGGUGCACCCGGCCAGGUCAUCUGCACCACAACAUGGUUAGUCUGCCGCAGGUAGAGCACUGAAUUUCCUAGGGGGCGUCAAAGCUUACCGAAGAAUAUCAAACUCCGAAUGCCAGCCAGAUGAUGACCGGGAGUCAGACUGCACGAGAUAAGUUGGGUAGUCAAAAGGGAAAGAGCCCAGACCACCGGCUAAGGUCCCAAAGUACGUGUUAAGUGGAAAAGGAUGUGGGAUUUCAAAGACAACCAGGAUGUUGGCUCAGAAGCAGCCAUACAUUCAAAGAGUGCGUAAUAGCUCACUGGUCGAGAGGUCCUGCGCCGAAAAUGUCCGGGGCUGAAACACACUACCGAAGCUCAGGAAUUAACCUAGUUAAUUGGUAGAGGAGCAUUCUUAAAGGGAGGAAGCAGUACCGGAAGGAGCUGUGGACUUUUAAGAAGAGAGAAUGCCGGAAUGAGUAGCGAGAGGAAGGUGAGAAUCCUUCCGGCCGAAUACCCAAGGUUUCCAGAGUAAAGCUGAUCUGCUCUGGGUAAGUCGGGGCCUAAGGUGAGGUCGAAAGACGUAGCCGAUGGACAACAGGUUGAAAUUCCUGUACUGCAGUAUAACAGAACUGUGGGGACGCAGAGGGAGAGCACUAGCGGGAAUGGAAUCCCGUGGCAAGCGAGGUAGGAGUAGAGUUGGCAAAUCCGCUCUAUAAUCCGAAGACGUGAUGCAUACCGAACAAAAGUAGGGAAAUGUGUGAGCCAGCUGCCAAGAAAAGCCGCUAUUGUUUGUACUGUACCCGUACCGUAAACCGACACAGGUAGGUGAGGAGAGAAUCCUAAGGCCGACGGGAGAAGCAUUGUUAAGGAACUCGGCAAAAUGACUCCGUAACUUCGGGAGAAGGAGUGCCAGUGAGAGCUGGCCGCAGAGAAUUGGCCCAAGCAACUGUUUAGCAAAAACACAGGUCUAUGCAAAACCGUAAGGUGAAGUAUAUGGGCUGACGCCUGCCCGGUGCUGGAAGGUUAAGAGGAGAGGUUAGCGGUAACGCGAAGCUUUGAAUUUAAGCCCCAGUAAACGGCGGCCGUAACUAUAACGGUCCUAAGGUAGCGAAAUUCCUUGUCGG